CCUACGGGAGGCUGCAGUGGGGAAUAUUGCACAAUGGGGGGAACCCUGAUGCAGCGACGCAGCGUGAGUGAAGAAGUAUUUCGGUAUGUAAAGCUCUAUCAGCAGGGAAGAAGAUGACGGUACCUGACUAAGAAGACCCGGCUAACUACGGGCCAGCAGCCGCGGUAAUACGUAGGGGGCAAGCGUUAUCCGGAUGUACUGGGGGUAAAGGGAGCGUAGACGGGAGGGCCAGGCUGGAGGGAAAGCCCGGGGUCCAACCCCGGGACUGCUUUGGAAACUGCCAUGCUAGAGUGCUGGAGAGGUAAGCGGAAGUCCUGGUGUAGCGGUGAAAUGCGUAGAUAUUAGGAAGAACACCAGUGGCGAAGGCGGCUUACUGGACAGUAACUGACGUUGAGGCUCGAAAGCGUGGGGAGCAAACAGGAUUAGAUACCCGAGUAGUC
rnacentral:rRNA from 1 species